UUUAUGCCUAGGCACUGCGCACACAAUAACAGGCUUAUACGCCAACUGGCUAACCUAUAGUGUGCCGGCCAGGCACUGGCACCUCGGGAAGUGCACCGCCGCUACUUUGGGCGGUGUACACCGCUACCGGUGGAGGAAGUUUUUCUCCCUCGUUUUACAUGCCAAGAAUCUUUUUCUCCUCUUUCUUCACCAGAUUUUGCCACUUGGCACAAAUCCAAAAUUUUAUAAAUACCCUUUCCCUUCCCUUCCUCUUCACACUUCCAUUUCUUUUAUUUUUCAAGAUUUAGAGAGAGAGAUACAAUAAAAUAGUGAGAG
rnacentral:lncRNA from 1 species